rnacentral:rRNA from 1 species
UUGAACGCUGGCGGCAUGCCUUACACAUGCAAGUCGAACGGUAACAGGUUAAGCUGCCGCGUGGCGAACGGGUGAGUAAUGUAUCGGAACGUGCCCAGUCGUGGGGGAUAACUGCUCGAAAGAGCAGCUAAUACCGCAUACGACCUGAGGGUGAAAGCGGGGGAUCGCAAGACCUCGCGCGAUUGGAGCGGCCGAUAUCAGAUUAGGUAGUUGGUGAGGUAAAGGCUCACCAAGCCGACGAUCUGUAGCUGGUCUGAGAGGACGACCAGCCACACUGGGACUGAGACACGGCCCAGACUCCUACGGGAGGCAGCAGUGGGGAAUUUUGGACAAUGGGCGCAAGCCUGAUCCAGCCAUGCCGCGUGCGGGAAGAAGGCCUUCGGGUUGUAAACCGCUUUUGUCAGGGAAGAAAAGGUUCUGGCUAAUACCUGGGACUCAUGACGGUACCUGAAGAAUAAGCACCGGCUAACUACGUG